UGAGCAACCUGCCCUUGACUCUGGAAUAACAGUUGGAAACAGCUGCUAAUACCGGAUACGACCUCCGACGGCAUCAUCUGGAGGUGGAAAGCUCCGACGGUCAAGGAUGGGCUCGCGGCCUAUCAGCUUUGUUGGUGAGGUAACGCUCACCAAGGCUUCGACGGGCAGCCGGCCUGAGAGGGCCGACCGGCCACACGUGGGACUGAGAUACCGGCCCAGACCUCCGUAGGGACGG
rnacentral:rRNA from 1 species